UACGUAGGGGGCGAGCGUUGUCCGGAUUUAUUGGGCGUAAAGAGCUCGUAGGCGGCUUAGCAAGUCGGGUGUGAAAACUCCAGGCUCAACCUGGAGACGCCACUCGAGACUGCUAUGGCUAGAGUCCGGUAGGGGACCACGGAAUUCCUGGUGUAGCGGUGAAAUGCGCAGAUAUCAGGAGGAACACCGGUGGCGAAGGCGACAUCCUGGACCGGUAUUGACGCUGAGGCGCGAAAGCCAGGGGAGCAAACGGG
rnacentral:rRNA from 1 species